CACACAUGCGUAUACACAAUGAUGAUAAACCUUUUAAUUGUGCCGUGUGUGUGAAGGCGUAUAAACAAUUGAAAUCACACAUGCGUUUACACAAUGAUGAUAAACCUUAUAAUUGUGACGUAUGUGGUAAAGGGUUUCAUCAACCUAGUCAAUUAAAGAAACACAUGGCAAAGCAUACUGGUGAUAAACCUUAUACCUGUGAUGUAUGCGAUAAAG
rnacentral:lncRNA from 1 species